rnacentral:misc_RNA from 1 species
ACACCUCAACUCCUCAUGGCUUGCCAUGAUGAGCUUGGACUUUGGGGGACUUGCUGGCCUGCAGUCAGCUCCUCUCAAAUGAAUCAGCUUACCAGUGUUUGGUGGCACCACAGGUGUGAUAAACAUCUACUCUUGUGGUCCUCCACCAUGUAACCUUCAGCAAUGGAGGUUCGCUGGAGCUCAUAGAUGUCUCUCCUCAGUGAGGACAACCCUUUGAAU